rnacentral:lncRNA from 1 species
UAAAAUCAUUUUAAGUUGGAAUUAUACAAUCAUUUAAUACAAAAGAGAAGCAAACUCAAAAAAAAUACUAGAUACCACACCUGCCAAUCUUUCUAGCAUCAAUUAAGAACAUGAAGAGAUGGCCACAUCAUCAAAUGCCAAAUUGGAACACGUCAAAAGCAUUAGGGCCGAUAAUCAAAAGUUAAUCACCCUUAUGGAUGCAACAAAGAUAUACAGAAUCAUGAUCGUUGUUGUCCUAAUUCAUUUUUGGGGUAAGGAGCAGUAACGUGAGAGAUCCCAACGAAAUAUUAUACGGAGUUUUCCCUACUCCAGGUAUGUUAAGUCCCUCCAUUCUUUCUUUUGGCAUGGUCCAAAUUAUACUGAAGAAAUGAGAAAAUACACAGUUUUAAAUAAAUUACUCUAUUCAUUGAAAUAGUAGGGGUGUCUAUAUUCUUGAUUCCCCAUGAGAAUUAUUAUUAUCUUCUGUUNNNNNNNNNNNNNNNNNNNNNNNNNNNNNNNNNNNNNNNNNNNNNNNNNNNNNNNNNNNNNNNNNNNNNNNNNNNNNNNNNNNNNNNNNNNNNNNNNNNNNNNNNNNNNNNNNNNNNNNNNNNNNNNNNNNNNNNNNNNNNNNNNNNNNNNNNNNNUACAUAAAAGAUUGUACUGCCUUGUCGGCCUAUGUUUUGAGUUUAUAAAGAAUCAUGUUGGCCUAUUAGGCCCUAUAUCAUGUGUAUAUGAUGAUGUAAUAAGAAAGAUACGUUAUGUUGGUAAUCGGUUGAGUAAGGUAUUGGGUGUCCGUCGGGGCCCAUCGGUUUAGGUCGUGAUACUAUGUCCCUAAGACAGUUUUCCGCACUCAGUAUGGGCAUUAUGAGUUCUUGGUGAUGUCAUUCGGGUUGAGAAUGCCCAGCAGCUUUUAUGGAUUUGAUGAACCGAGUGUUCAGGCCUUACUUGGAUUCAUUCGUAUAGUCUUCAUUGAUGAUAUUUUGAUCUAUUCCCGCAGUCGAGAAGAGCACGACCAGCAUCUUAGAGUGGUUCUUCAAACUUUGAGGGAUAGUCAGUUGUAUGCUAAAUUUUUGAAGUGUGAGUUCUGGUUGAGUUCAGUUGCAUUCCUAGGUCAUGUUGUAUCAGCAGAGGGUAUUCAUGUUGAUCUGAAGAAGAUUGAGGCAGUUGAGAACUGGCCUAGACCAGCAUCAACUACAUAGAUCCGGAGUUUCUUGGGAUUGGCAGGCUAUUAUCGCUGGUUUGUGGAGGGGUUUUCAUCCAUUGCAACCCCGAUGACCAGGUUGACCCAGAAGGGUGCCCAGUUCAGGUGGUCAGACGAGUGUGAGGUGAGCUUUCAGAAGCUCAAGACAGCUUUGACUACGACACCAGUGUUGGUUUUGCCCACAGGUUCAAGGCCGUAUAUAGUUUUUUGUGAUGCAUCUCGUACUGGACUUGGUGCGGUGUUGAUGCAAGUUGGCAAGAUCAUUGCCUAUGCUUCACGGUAGUUGAAGAUCAUGAGAAGAACUAUCCGGUUCAUGAUUUGGAGUUAGCAUCCAUUGUUCACGCGUUGAAGAUUUGGAGGCAUUAUCUGUAUGGCGUGGCAUGCGAGGUGUUCACGGAUCACAAGAGUCUGCAGUACUUGUUCAAGUAGAAGGAGUUGAAUUUGAGGUAGAUAAGGUGGUUGGAGCUGUUAAAUGACUAUGAUAUCACCAUCUUAUAUCAUCGGGAAAGGCCAAUGUGGUGGCUGAUGCUUUGAGUAGGAAGUCAGCCAGUAUGGCCAGUCUUGCUUAUAUUCCGGUCGGUGAGAGACCACUUGCUUUGGAUGUUCAAGCUUUGGCCAAUCAGUUCGUGAGGUUGAAUGUUUCUGAGCCCGGUCGUGUGUUAGCUUGCACGGUCGCUCGUUCCUCUUUAUUGGAGUGUAUCCGUGAUCGGCAGUAUGAUGAUCCCCAUUUGUGGGUCCUUAGAGACACGAUGCAGCACGGAGGUGCCAAGCAGGUUACCUUAGGAGACGAUGGAGUUUUGAAAUUGCAGGGUCGAGUUUGUGUUCCUAAUAUGGACGGGCUUCGAGAGUUGAUUUUAGAGGAGGCCCAAAGCUCCUGGUACUCUAUUCAUCCAGGCACCGCGAAGAUGUAUCAGGAUUUGCUGCAGCAUUAUUGGUGGAGAAGAAUGAAUAAGGACAUCGUUGCAUAUGUGGCUCGGUGUUUGAACUGUCAGCAGGUUAAGUACGAGCAUUAGAGGCCAGGUGGUUUGUUCCAGAAGAUUGAGAUUCCUGAGUGAAAGUGUAAGCGUAUCACUAUGAACUUCGUUGUUGGGCUCCUACGGACUCAGAGGAAGUUCGACGCAGUGUGAGUUAUUGUUGAUAGGCUGACCAAGUCAGCAUAUUUCAUUUCUGUGGCAGUCUCCUAUUCUUCCAGGAGGUUAGCUGAGAUCUAUAUCCAGGAGAUUGUUCGUCUUUAUGGUGUGCCAGAGUCUAUCAUUUCGGAUCGAGGUACGUAGUUUACCUCCCAUUUCUGGAGAGCAGUUCAGUGAGAGUUGGGCACACGGGUUGAGUUGAGCACAACGUUUCACCCUCAGAUGGACGGACAGUCAGAGCGAACCAUUCAGAUUUUGAAGGAUAUGCUCUGAGCUUGUGUCAUUGACAUUGGAGGCUCGUGGGAUCAUUUUUUCCCUUUAGCAGAGUUUGCCUACAACAACGGCUACAAGUCGAGUAUCCAGAUGGCUCCGUAUAAGGCUUUGUAUGGUAGGCGGUAUCGGUUGCCAGUUGGAUGGUUUGAGCCCGAAGAGGCUCGGUUGUUGGGUACGGAUCUGGUUCAGGAUACCUUGGACAAGGUCGGGAUUAUUCAGGAUAGGCUUUGUACCACUCAGUCCAGGCAAAAGAGUUAUGCCGACCGUAAGGUUUGUGAUUUGGCAUUCAUAGUUGGUGAGCGGGUAUUGCUUCGAGUCUCGCCUAUGAAGGGCGUGAUGAGAUUUGGGAAGAAGGGCAAGCUUAGCCCUAGGUUCAUUGGCCCGUUUGAGAUUCUUGAUCGAGUGGGAGAGGUGGCUUACAGACUUGCGUUGCCGCCGAGCUUAACAGCCGUGCAUCCAGUGUUUCAUGUGUCCAUGCUUCGAAAAUAUCACGGCGAUCCAUCCCACGUGUUAGAUUUCAACACUAUCUAGUUGGACAAGGACUUGUCUUAUGAGGAGGAGCUGGUAGCUAUGCUAGACCGGCAGGUUCGUCAGUUGAGAUCGAAGAGUUUUCCUUCUGUUCGUGUUCAGUGGAGAGGUCAGCUCGCUGAGGCAUCGACCAGGGAUUCCGAGUCCCAUAUGUGGAGCAGUUAUCCACUUAUUUUAAAAGUAAAUUUUACGUUCUGAGGCCUUAAAAACCUCUUUCGGCAUCACCUCGAUUUGUGUGCGCAGUUCGGGCGCGUAGCAGGAAAGCUAUUAUGUUAAAAAUGAUAAAUUUUGCCUUUAAAAUGAAUUUAAGUUGACUUCGGUGAACAAUUUGGGUAAACGGACCCGGACCUGUGAUUUGACGGUCCCAGAGGGUCCAUAGGAAAAUAUGGGACUUGGCGUAUGCCCGGAAUCGAAUUCCAAGGUCCCAAGCUCGAGAAAUGAAUUUUUAAAGAAAAUUAUUUUCUGAAAUUAUUUCUGAGUUUUGGAAAUGAAAUGAGUUUAAAACUCAAUGGUAUCGGGCCCGUAUUUUGGUUUCGGCGCUCGGUACAGGUCUUAUAUAUGAUUUAAGAUAAGUUUGUGUAAUUUGGUAAGAAACGGACUUGAAACGACGUGAAUCGGAUCAUAUUUGAGAAAAAUGGAAAAUUUGAAGUUCUUGAGAAAUUUCAUAAUUUUGAUGUUUAAUUCAUAGUUGUUGAUGUUAUUUUAGAUAUUUGAAUGCACGAGCGAGUCUGUAUGGUGUUUUUAGGUUGGUGUGCAUGUUUGGUUUGGAUCCUCGAGGGCUGGGGUGAGUUUUGGAUAGGCCACGGGGUAAAUUUUUGGACCUAAGGAUUUGCAGGCUUCAGCUGAUGCGAAGCCUGGCUCGCAAAUGCGAGGGCUAUGUCGCAAUUGCGAAAGUAGCCCAGGCCAGCCUAUCUCGCAAUUGCGAGGGUUUUAAUCGCAAAUGCGAUCCCCCAGCUUGUGGCCAGUAGUCGCAAAUGCGACAUGUUGGUCGCAUUUCCCAGCUCGCAAAUGUGAGCCCAUUUUCGCAAAUGCGAACUUAGCAAAAGUUUGGGUUCGCAAUUGCAACAUCUCCAACCUGCAAUUUUAUAACUUAGCCGAAAAUCUUUCAUUUUUCGCACUCUUUCAAAAUCAAAAUACUCUUGGGCGAUUUUUCAAAGGCAACUUCUUCUCCAAAUUGAUUAUAAGUCAAUUUUAAUUCGUUUUCUUCAAUCAUUAACAUCUUUUCACAUGAUUUCAACUCAAAAUCUAUGAUUUUCAUAGGGAAAAUUGGGUGUUUUGGGUAGAACCUAGGUUUUUCAAAAAUUGGAGAUUUGAACCUCGAUUUGUGGUCCGAUUUCAAAACAAAUUAUAUAUUUGGGUUCGUAGGGGAAUGGGUAAUCGGGUUUUGGUUCAAACCUCGGGUUUUGACCAUGUGGGCCCAGGGGCGAUUUUUGACUUUUUGGGAAAAACUUUAGAAAACUCAUUUUCAUGCAUUAGAAUUGAUUCAUUUAGCAUUUAUUGAUGUAAUUAAGUAACUUGUGGCUAGUUACAAGCGAAUUGGUGGUAGAAUUAAGUGGUAAAGCAUUAGUAGAGGCUUGAAUUGUGUUCGUGGCAUCGAGGUAAGUGUUUGGUCUAACCUUAGCUUGAGGGAUUAGGAGUUGAAGCCUAUUUUCUACAUGUUACUUGUUGAGUACGACGUAUAGACAUGGUGACGAGUAUCUAUACGUUGGUGUCAAGCAUGACCGUGAGUCUUAAAUGGAAAUUGUUGUGUUUUGAAUAAAUACUACGAAUGCCUAAGUUGUUGAUUCUCUAUGUCGAACAAGGAUUAUGAUUAUCCUCGUGGAAAUUACUUAUGAUUGAGUAUUGGUGCUAGUUGAGGUAGUUAGAUGUUGAAACAAGUUUGGUUAUAGCUGAUUUUCCCUUGCCGGGACGUAUUUACUUAUACUGUCGAUUUUCUUGCCGGGAUAGUAUUGUUUAUUUAUUGAUCCCUUACCAGGACUCUUGUUGUGAUUGGUGUUGAAAUGUAUAAUGGGAUCGGGUUGCACGCCGCAACUAGGGGUGUUCAUAAAAAUCCGAAAACCCGAACCAAACCGAAAACCAAACCAAACCGACCAAAAAAAACCGAUACUUUUUGGUUUGAUUUGGUUUUGGUUUUAAUUUAAAAACCGAUCAAAUUUGGUUUGGUUUUGGUUUUAAUUAAAAAAAACCGAACCAAAUCUAAUAUAGGAGUAGCUAUUUUUAAAUUUAUUAUUACACCUAUAUAUAUGUAUAGUUUUAUACAAAGUUUUAAAAAAUUUAUACUAAAUAUUAAUCGUUUGCACUUUUAGUACAGUUCUUUACCUUUACAUUCAAGCUUAAUGGGUAGUUUUCUUUUGUUAAGUGUAAGAAUCUAUUUCAUGUUAAAAAUAAUAUAUUUUUAAUUGAGUCCUUAAAUUAUUUAUCACUAUUUGAUUCAAUUAUCAUCAAUAUAUCUUGGUAAAUAAUAGAUUUCUCAAAGGGCAAUUGAUUUGAUAGUGUUACGUUGAAAAUGUGGUCGCCGAAAUGUAUGUUUGGUAGUGUAUGUCUUAUAUUUAAGAAAAAAUCGACAAAUAACCGAAGAAACCGAAAAAACAAACAUAAACCGAAUCGAGAAAAAACCGACUUAAUUGGUUUGGUAUGGUUCUAAUAUUUAAAAAACCGACUUACUUGGUUUGGUUUCUUUUUAGGGAAAAACCGAUCCAAACCGAACCAUGAACACCCCUAGCCGCAACAAUAUUAUAUUUGGAUUGGGUUGCACGCCGCAGCAAUAUUAUAUUUGGAUCGGGUUGCACACCGCAACAAUAUUAUAUUUGGAUCGGGUUGCACGCCGCAACAAUAAUAUAAUUGGAUCGGGUUGUACGCUGUAACAGUGAUAAAUGAUAUGGAUCGGGUUGCACGCCGCAACAGAGUUAGUAUGUUUUGGGAUAGGAUUGCGCGCCACAACAAUUGAUAAUACGAAGUGUUUAUAGAUUGGAUACGAGUCCUUAUUGUUUUGCUGUAAAUUCUAAAUUGUUCUUAUGCUUUCCUCCUAAUUUGUUGUUGGUACUGAUAUUUCCCCACAGCAUGUACCCCCUCCUAUCUUCACGUGUUUGUUCCUGUUUUAUUUUUCGCUGCAUAUUAUAUAACUGCACAGGUUUAUUUGGUAGUCUGGUCCUAGCCUCGUCACUACUUUGCCGGCGUUAGGCCAGGCACUUACCAGCACAUGGGGUUGGUUGUGCUGAUACUACACUCUGCACUACGUGCAGAUCCCGGAGCGGCAGCUUUUGGACUGUAGCAUUGGGUGGUUGCCUUCAGUCCAGUUAAAGAUCCCGAGGUAGUCCUGCAGGCGUCCGCAUGCUCGGCGUUUUCUUCUAUCCUUAUGUGUAUUCUGUUUCCAUUUGCUUCCGAGACUGAUUUUACCUUCUUUUCAGACAAUUAUAUGUAGUAUUCCUAGACAGUCCGUGAUAUUGUGACACCGGAUUCC